rnacentral:snRNA from 1 species
GUACUUUGGUGGCACAUGUUGUAAAAUCGGAACGGUUCAGAAAAGAUACAGUACACGGGUCCCUGCAUGAUAAUGGCACGUGAAGUCGUGAAGCCUUCCGUGUUUUU